UUCCGUAGGGUGACCUGCGGAAGGAUCAUUA
rnacentral:rRNA from 5 species